rnacentral:rRNA from 1 species
UACGUAGGGUGCGAGCGUUAAUCGGAAUUACUGGGCGUAAAGCGUGCGCAGGCGGUUCGUUGUGUCGGCGGUGAAAUCCCCGGGCUUAACCUGGGAACUGCAUUUGUGACUGCAUCGCUGGAGUGCGGCAGAGGGAUGGAAUUCCGCGUGUAGCAGUGAAAUGCGUAGAUAUGCGGAGGAACACCGAUGGCGAAGGCAAU